AACAACAACAAAUAUGUGAAAAAUAAUUCAAACAAUCUAAUACUUCUAGACUAGUCUUUCUAUUUAAAAAUUGGUUUUACUUAUUGUUGAAGCAUGAUUGGAGCUGCUAUAAUAGCCAUUGGAUUUUAUACUAUCAUGUGGGCACAAGCUCAAGAGGAACACAAAACAAGCCAGAUAAUAUUUUCACAUCUUCUUUAGCCCCUCUUUUGUCAACCAAAAGCAUGAGUCUUUAGGAGACUUUCCUUUUGUAAGGUGGUAAGAAGGAAAUACAUAACAUUGACAAAGGCAUGCUCACUUUAGAAUCCAAAAGCCAAGUCAUCAAAUUAGUCUCUUGAUCCAUUAAGUAAG
rnacentral:lncRNA from 1 species